AACGAACGCUGGCGGCAGGCUUAACACAUGCCAGUCGAACGCCCCGCAAGGGGAGUGGCAGACGGGUGAGUAACGCGUGGGAACAUACCCUUUUCUACGGAAUAGCUCUGGGAAACUGGAAUUAAUACCGUAUACGCCCUACGGGGGAAAGAUUUAUCGGGGAAGGAUUGGCCCGCGUUGGAUUAGCUAGUUGGUGGGGUAAAGGCCUACCAAGGCGACGAUCCAUAGCUGGUCUGAGAGGAUGAUCAGCCACAUUGGGACUGAGACACGGCCCAAACUCCUACGGGAGGCAGCAGUGGGGAAUAUUGGACAAUGGGCGCAAGCCUGGUCCAGCCAUGCCGCGUGAGUGAUGAAGGCCUUAGGGUUGUAAAGCUCUUUCACCGAUGAAGAUAAUGACGGUAGUCGGAGAAGAAGCCCCGGCUAACUUCGUG
rnacentral:rRNA from 1 species